GGAGUUCGAUUAAGCCAUGCGAGUCGAGAGGGUUCAGACCCUCGGCGGAAUGCUCAGUAACACGUGGACAACCUGCCCUCAAGUGGGGGAUAAGCUCGGGAAACUGAGGAUAAUGCCCCAUAGUUCUGGGAUGCUGGAAUGCGUCCAGGACGAAAGCUCCGGCGCCCGAGGAUGAGCCUGCGGCCUAUCAGGUAGUAGUGGGGGUAAAGGCCCCACUAGCCGACGACGGGUACGGGCCUUGGGAGAGGUAGCCCGGAGAUGGACUCUGAGACACGAGUCCAGGCCCUACGGGGCGCAGCAGGCGCGAAACCUACGCAAUGCGCGAAAGCGCGACGUGGGGACUCCCAGUGCUCAUGGGCGACAUGUCUGUGGGCUUUUCCCAAGCCUAAAAAGCUUGGGGAAUAAGGGCUGGGUAAGACCGGUGCCAGCCGCCGCGGUAAUACCGGCGGCCCGAGUGGCGGCCACUAUUAUUGGGUCUAAAGCGUCCGUAGCCGGUCAGGUAAAUCCUAGGGUAAAUCGAACGGCUUAACCGUUCGACCCCCUGGGAGACUGCCUGACUUGAGACCGGGAGAGGCUGGAGGUACUCUAGGGGUAGGGGUGAAAUCCUGUAAUCCCUAGGGGACCACCUGUGGCGAAGGCGUCCAGCUUGAACGGGUCUGACGGUGAGGGACGAAGGCCAGGGGCGCAAACCGGAUUAGAUACCCGGGUAGUCCUGGCUGUAAACGCUGCGGGCUUGGUGUUGGGGGUCCUUCGUGGGCACCCAGUGCCGUAGAGAAGUUGUUAAGCCCGCCACCUGGGGAGUACGGCCGCAAGGCUGAAACUUAAAGGAAUUGGCGGGGGAGCACUGCAACGGGAGGA
rnacentral:rRNA from 1 species